UGGCAUAGUGGUAACUGCACUCGCCUUGCACGCGGGAGACCCGGGUUCGAUUCCCGG
rnacentral:tRNA from 1 species